GACGAACCGAGCGAACGUUGUUCGGAAUCACUGGGCUUAAAGGGCGCGUAGGCGGGUGCUCAAGUCCGUGGUGAAAUCCUCCGGCUCAACCGGAGAACUGCCUCGGAUACUGGGUGCCUCGAGGGUGGUAGGGGUAUGCGGAACUAUCGGUGGAGCGGUGAAAUGCGUUGAUAUCGAUAGGAACUCCGGUGGCGAAGGCGGCAUACUGGACCACCUCUGACGCUGAGGCGCGAAAGCCAGGGGAGACGAAACGGG
rnacentral:rRNA from 1 species